UCUUUAAGGGAAUCUGUGAUGUCUAGAGCACAGCAAAUAUUUUUCAAAUGAAAUUGACCAUUUUAUAAGAGAAACAAGGUCAUAGGUCUUCUACCUCUACUUCCAAUGACAAAUGAAACUGCCCAGUGACUCAACUCGAGAAGGCUCUGUACUAUCUAUAGUGAAUAUAGAGAAACUGUUUGUCCAAGGCUUAAAAAUUAAUGUGACUAUACAUAUUGUUCUCAGCCUUUUAAUGCCUUUUGAGUAAAUGCUGCAUGCAUGCACCCCCUCUUAUAUAUUUGUCGUUAUGUGUGUCACCUGCUAUGUGCUAGAUACUGUGUUAAGUACUAGAUUUACAAAGAUGAAUUAUAAGGUGGUCUCUUCCCUCCAUAGACUUAUACUGUAGAUUCUUUUUAAAAAUACAUUUUUAUUCAGCAAGGAAGGGAAAGGGAGAGAGAGACAGAAACAUCAAUGAUGAGAGAGUAUCACUGAUUGGCAGCCUCCUACAUGCCCCACACUUGGGACGGAAUCUACAACCUGGGCAUGUGCUCUGACCAGGAAUGGAACCUUGACCUCCUGGUUCAUAGGUUGACACUCAACCAUUGAGCCAUGCCGGCAGAUAGUAAAACAAAAACAAAAAACCAAUGCUAUGUGCUAAGAACCGUAAUACACAUGAUUUGUGGGUACUGCAGAAGCACAGAAGAGUAUCUAACGUAGUAUGGAGACUGAGUCAGGAAAGACUUCCAAGGCCUCUUUUGUGUUGGGUCUUGAAAGGUAGUUUGUAGAUAGCCAUACAGAUGGUUUAGUGCAGGGGUAGAGAGAGAGCGUAUGUGGACAGAUAUGGAAGCAUAAAAAACAUGGGGUAUACUGGGAACCGCAAAUAGUUUGGUACGGCGGUGGGUGGGGGUCAGGGGGAGCCUUUGUGAGAGGAGCAAAAGCUGGAGAAGGUACGUGGGAGUCAGAUGAUGGACAAACUAGGUAAUAAUGAGGAAUCCUGUGGAGUGUGUCAGUAGGGGGUGGAGAGAGUCAGAUUGGCUGUGGGUGGAAUGGAUUGGGAGAAUUAGAGACCACAGAUAGGAGAACAGUUAGGGAGAAGCUGUGCCUUUAAGGUACUUACUAUACAGUUUGGGAGGAAGUUGGUUUCAAGAUGCGUUUGAGGGUAGAGUUUCCUAACUGUGAGAAUGAGAAACAGAAGACUAGUUAAUGGUCAAGUUCUGGCUUAGCCACCUCGGUGGGUGAUAGGAGUUGACAAGAUGGACAGUGUUGGGGUUAAGCUUUUGAAGAGGUUGUGCACAUGCAGGUGGAGAUCUCUAGCAGCACUCCUUGGGGCCAGGGUCAUUGAUGAGAUCUCCCAAGUGUGGGUACUGGCUAAGAGGAGAAGAGGAGCUUAGGACAGAACUUCAGAAACAUCGACGAUUACAGGUAGGUAGAAGACAAACCAGUGAAAGGAAUGAAGAAGGAACUGUCAGAGAUUUGGAGCAACAUGGGAAAGGUUUUUGUUUUGGGAUCCAAGAAGUAAGAGAGUUCUCUGAAAGGAAGGGAGAAACACUGUCAAAUGCUACAGGGAGGUCUGAUAAGAUAAAGGAGGCCAUUCAUGGACAUAGCACUUACGCAUUUGUAAGGGACAAUCUGCCUCACAAUUUCAGUGCUGGGGAGGGUGGAGACCAAAUGGAGCAGGUGGAGCAAAUGGGAGUGCAGAAAAGGAGCAGGGAGUGUAGUUAAGAAAUUUAAGAGGCAUGACUGGUACAAGUAAGGCCAGGGAGAAGGAAGCGGACAGAAGGAGAUGUAGGACUGAGGGAAAUUUUAUAAUAUGUAUAUUUAUAAAUUAGGGAUCCUUGAGAAGAUUGUAAGAUUGAAGAUAAGGAAGGGAGAGUUGAUCAUGAGGCCCAUGAGGAGGCAUUUGCUUGGAGAGGAGAGACCUUCACUUUUUUCUCCCUGAGGUGGAGUUGAGGGAACAGCUUUGAGAACAGGGUGAAUGUAAGUUAAACUGCAUGUGGGAGGGCUGAGGACUCGGUGGGGAGGGCCUCUUCGGGGAGCAGGAGCCCCUGUAGUACCUGCUGACUGUCCCUGGAAGAGACAGCAGGAGGGAGAGGUAUUUCAGAUCCCCUGGGGAACUCAGAGAGAGCAUCCAGCUGAGGUUGGAAAUGACAUGGUCUUGACCACAGUCCUGGCUGCUGCAGAUUGGCCUCCGUGGGCAGUUGACUGAGUGCUCCUCUUUACCAGGUAGAUACUUUGCUACUGGGGUGUCUCUGAUACCUUCCUCCCUUUUCGGGGGAGGGAAGGUUAGUAUAUCACAGACAUGUAGAGAUAAAGGGAUUUUAGGGAUCAUAAGACUAACCUCCUCGUCUUGUAAACAAGGAAACGGAGGCUCAGAAGAGUGAAGUGACUUAUUGAAGUGAAUCCACAGCCAGGGCUAAGCCCCAACGUUCUCUUUUCUGUACCUCGCUACCUCUUUGGUAAGGGUUACGGAUGAAACCCAUUCAGUGUAAAUACUCUUACUAACCUAUUUGGAACUGGGAAUCCUAUACCAUUUUCUUUCUUCUCCAACUUGUUUUUCUCUUUACCAGGUCCAAGCAGGUACAGCCAAAUUCUAGAAUGAUAAAAAUAAGUAGGCUUAUCUAUUUCUAAAUGGAUUUUUUUAUUAGAUGAGAAUAUUUGGGACUUGUAAAUGGUCAAAUGUGUGGAAUUUCUAAUCUUAUAAACCAUCUAAUUUUAAAGAUAGGUGAUUUAUUUAUUCAUACAUAUAUUUAUUCUGAGUUUUAAAAAUACUUAGUUAAAUUUAUUGGGGUGACAUUGGUUAAUAAAAUUAUAUAGGUUUCACGUGUACAAUUCAAUGAUACAUCACCUGUGUAUUGCAGUGUGGGUCCACCACCCAAAAUCAAAUCAUCUUCCAUCACCAUAUACUUGGCCUCCUUUACCCUUUCCUACCUCCCUGACCCCGCCCACACCCCCCCCUUUCCCUCGGGUCAUCACCAUACUGUUGUCUGUGUCUAUGAAUUUUUGUUUGCCUUUCUUGUUUGUUUAUUUGUUGCUUCGAGUUUUAUAUCCUACAUAUGAGUGAAAUCAUAUGACUCUUGAAUUUUUCGGCCUGGCUUAUUUUGCUUAGCAUGAUAUUCUCAAGAUCCAUCCAUAUUGUUGCAGAUGGCAGUAUUUCAUCUUUUGUUAGGGCUGAGUGGUAUUCCUUUGUAUAUGUGUACCACAUCUUCUUUAUCCAGUCAUCUAUUGAAGGACACUUUUAUGGUUGUUUCCAUGUCUUGGCCACCAUGAAUAAUGCUUCAGUGAACAUAAGGAGUGCCUAUAUUUUUGUGAAUAAAUAUUUUCAAAUAUUUUGGGUAGGUAUCUAGAAGAGGGGCUGCUGGGUCACAUGGUAACUCUUAUUAAUUUUUUGAUGAGCUUCUGGGCUGUUUUCCAUACUGGCUAUGCCCCAGCAGUGAAUGAGGACUCCUUUGUCUCCAUAUGUUAAUACUUGUCUUGUUGAUAAUAGCCAUCCUAACAGGUGUGAGGUGGUGCUCAUUGUAGUUUUGAUUCGCAUUUCCUCAGUAGUGAAGUGGAGCAUCUCUUAACGUAUUUUCUGGCCAUUUGUAUGUCUUCUUGGGAGGAAUGUCUGUUUAGGUCCUUCGCCCAUUUUUUAAUUGUGUUGUUUGUUUUGUUGGUGUUGAGCUGUAUGACUUCUUUAUAUAUUUUGGAUGUUAACUCCUUGUCAGAGCAGUCGUUUGCAAAUACCUUCUCAUUUGGUGGUCCCCUAGUCUAAGUUUCAUUUACUCCAUAUUUUGAGUAAGUUCUCACUAGAUGCCAGGCAUUGUGAUGUUGUAGUAGCACAGAAUUCCCACGUCUAUCCAAGGCCUGUUGAGAACUGACUCAUAUUAUACUCUCUCUGUCUAGAACAAUGGUUCUCAACCUUCCUAAUGCCGUGACCCUUUACUACAGUUCCUCAUGUUGUGGUGACCCCCAACCAUAAAAUUAUUUUUGUUGCUACUUCAUAACUGCAAUUUUGCUACUGUUAUGAAUCAUAAUGUAAAUAUCUGAUAUGCAGGAUGUAUUUUCAUUGUUACAAAUUGAACAUAAUUAAGGCAUAGUGAUUAAUCACAAAAACAAUAUGUAAUUAUAUAUGUAUUUUCCAAUGGUCUUAGGCGACCCCUUUGAAAGGGUCGUUCGACCCCCAAAGGGGUUGCGACCCACAGGUUGAGAACCCCUGGUCUAGAACAUUGAGUUUAAUACCAGUAAGUUGUGUAUGCCGCUUUGGGAUCUGCCAUCUACAUCCUUCGUCUAGACAAGGACUAAGGAGCAGACAAUAGCACGUCUGUUGGAUUAUCAUAGGUUUGGCAGGAAUGAUUUAGUGUGGAACGGGGCCCUUAACUAAUUAUCAUUGUUUAUAACACCUUUUCCUCUUUCAUUUUCAAGAGUGAGAAUAAUUCAGUAAUAUGAUUGAUAAAACAUAAAAGGUCGGUAUGGUUGCCCUGGUAUCUAUAUUUUUCAGCAAGUAUUUUGUUUGCCAUGAAAUGUGUUCUGGGUGAUUUACUAGCAAUCACACUCUGUACGUCAUGACACUCUGUGUUUGAGCUCCUUUUGCACGGUCAGGAGUGACAGCUCUGUCGGGUGCUUUGGGUUGGACUUUGAAGCUGUUCGGUGCUGGGGUUCUUUGUGUUUUUUCUUUCUUUGGGAGACAAACAGGACACUGGUUACAGUGAAUCUAUUUGAGUUAAAGAAGAACUUCCAAGUCUAGUGGGAUUUACGAGUUUUUGAAUGAUUUGGGGGAUACAUAAAAUUUCUUAAAAAGAAUAUUUUUAUAUAGAAUACAGAUAAAGUAUAUUUUCUGAUAAGUGAUCAGAAAUGUGUUAAAACAUACCUUUUGAUUUAAUUCCUAUGCAAUUGAUUUUGAGUAGAAUAAAUGAUUCUCAAAAACAGUAUUAAAGAUGAAAAUCAAAAUAAUUAAGCAAUUAAAGCAAUUGCUACCUUGAAGAUUUUUGGUGGUAUGAAUUAAAGCUAAGUGGUUCUUUUUAAGUUUAGCAUAUUCUGUGACCCCAAACAAAAAACCUACUUCAAGGAAUUUAGCUUAUAGGAAUAAUUUAAAUAUAUAUACACAAGGAUGUAACUACUGGAUUGUUUUUAAUAGCAAAAAAUUGUCCAAAUGUCCGACAGUAAGAGACUAGUUAAAUAAAUGUUGGCCUCUAUAACAGAAUACUUUGUAACCAUUAAAAAGAGUGAUGUAGAUCUGUGUCUAGGUACAGAAAAAGAUUUUCAAGAUAAAUACCAGUAGGCUGAAAAAAGGCACCUUACAGAAUAUUGUAUAUGUGGAAUGAUCCUGCCUUUUAAAAAAAUAUAUAUUUUAUUGAUUUUUUUACAGAGAGGAAGGGAGAGGGAUAGAGAGUUAGAAACAUCGAUGAGAGAGAAACAUCAAU